AUAGGUUCUUUAUUGGUAAUAAACAAUUUCUGUUCUGACCAGCUUAAUUUCUGAUAUGUUAGGCAAUGCCUAACUCGUAUAUUAAACUGAUUUUUGGACUUCGGCCAUGGGAUUGAAGCUUGCUUCGCCCUGGCCACAGGUUGUCUUGGUAUUGCACUACAUCCGAGUACAGCCCCUUCCCC
rnacentral:snRNA from 1 species